rnacentral:rRNA from 1 species
CCUACGGGUGGCAGCAGUGAGGAAUAUUGGUCAAUGGGCGUGAGCCUGAACCAGCCAAGUAGCGUGAAGGAUGACUGCCCUACGGGUUGUAAACCUCUUUUAUAAAGGAAUAAAGUGAGGCACGUGUGCUUUUUUGUAUGUACCUUAUGAAUAAGGAUCGGCUAACUCCGUGCCAGCAGCCGCGGUAAUACGGAGGAUCCGAGCGUUAUCCGGAUUUAUUGGGUUUAAAGGGCGCGUAGAUGGGUUGUUAAGUCAGUUGUGAAAGUUUGCGGCUCAACCGUAAAAUUGCAAUUGAUACUGGCAGCCUUGAGUACCGUUGAGGCAGGCAGAAUGCGUGGUGUAGCGGUGAAAUGCUUAGAUAUCACGAAGAACCCCGAUUGCGAAGGCAGCUUACUAAGCUGCCACUGACAUUGAUGCUCGAAAGUGUGGGUAUCGAACAGGAUUAGAUACCCGAGUAGUC